rnacentral:rRNA from 1 species
GACGAACGCUGGCGGCGUGCUUAACACAUGCGAGUCGAACGGAAAGGCCCUGCUUUUGUGGGGUGCUCGAGUGGCGAACGGGUGAGUAACACGUGAGUAACCUGCCCUUGACUUUGGGAUAACUUCAGGAAACUGGGGCUAAUACCGGGUAGGAGCUCCUGCUGCAUGGUGGGGGUUGGAAAGUUUCGGCGGUUGGGGAUGGACUCGCGGCUUAUCAGCUUGUUGGUGGGGUAGUGGCUUACCAAGGCUUUGACGGGUAGCCGGCCUGAGAGGGUGACCGGCCACAUUGGGACUGAGAUACGGCCCAGACUCCUACGGGAGGCAGCAGUGGGGAAUAUUGCACAAUGGGCGGAAGCCUGAUGCAGCAACGCCGCGUGCGGGAUGACGGCCUUCGGGUUGUAAACCGCUUUCGCCUGUGACGAAGCGUGAGUGACGGUAAUGGGUAAAGAAGCACCGGCUAACUACGUG